rnacentral:rRNA from 1 species
CCUACGGGUGGCUGCAGUGAGGAAUAUUGGUCAAUGGGCGUGAGACUGAACCAGCCAAGUAGCGUGAAGGAUGACUGCCCUACGGGUUGUAAACUUCUUUUAUAAGGGGAUAAAGUGAGGCACGUGUGCCUUUUUGUAUGUACUUCAUGAAUAAGGACCGGCUAAUUCCGUGCCAGCAGCCGCGGUAAUACGGAGGAUCCGAGCGUUAUCCGGAUUUAUUGGGUUUAAAGGGAGCGUAGAUGGGUUGUUAAGUCAGUUGUGAAAUUUUGCGGCUCAACCGUAAAAUUGCAAUUGAUACUGGCAGCCUUGAGUGCAGUGGAGGUAGGCGGAAUUCGUGGUGUAGCGGUGAAAUGCUUAGAUAUCACGAAGAACUCCGAUUGCGAAGGCAGCUUACUAAACUGCCACUGACAUUGAUGCUCGAAAGUGUGGGUAUCAAACAGGAUUAGAUACCCUUGUAGUC